rnacentral:rRNA from 1 species
AUGGAACUUAAUAGUCGAGAAAAUAAGGCUCCGCCGGGGAAAGAACUAACUACUUUACCCGGUAAAAAGAAGUGCUCUGCUUGUAAAGAGACAUCACACAAUUUGGAUCAAUGCAGGAUAAAAGACAAAUUGGGUACUAUGGCCCAGCUAUUUGGACAUUCUACAAGGUUCCCGUUCUACAUGAUUCAACCUUCAAAGGAAGUUGUCGAAAAUGAAAAAUUCUAUCAUCACUGCCUGCUGAUCACAUCUAAUGCCUGUAACUUGGACCCGACAAGAGUGAAAACUGAACUAAACAAGUUCUGGAAGCUGACUGAUGACUGGCAUAUAAAGAGAGAAGGUAGGCAGAAUUUCGUAGCAUCCUUCAACUCAGAGGAUGACCUACUAAGCUGUUUAAAGCCUCCCAAUGUAGAAACAUUUCUGGAUGAAAAGGAGGUGAAUUUCACUGUAGCACGGUGGGAUGAAGGUGAUUAG